GUUAAUGUGUUCAGGAACAACAAAGCUCUUUUAGUUGCUUAGCAACUGAAGCUGGGGGGUUGGGCAGAGGCUACGUAAGCGGUGGGGGAGAAAAACAGAGAGGAGCAUAAAAAGUGAUUUUAAUGUACAGGUCAUUCCCAGGUGGAGGAAAAGAGAUACAUGUAUAUAGCUGUGGUAUUUACAGCUCUAGCUAUUUGUUACCUGGCUGGAAAAUUUAGUGAAAUAUUUUGAAAUGCAGCAGUGGACACUACUGCCACCGCGUGGACAAUGCUGGGAGCCUACGGGGAGCUGAAGGAACGAGACACAGGCGCGAGAGGGGCCCACCUCUGGGGAAUGUGGGAGUGGUCUACAGACUGUUGGUUCCUGUACCCCUUAGCACAAUUUUGAAACUUUCUGGUGCAUUUUUAAGUUGGUUGGCUAUGACUCUGCUCCUUGCUGAAGACCGUGACAGAGCAGCUUCCCCCUGGGACAUGUGGUUUCUUGGCAGAAGGAAAAACAGACAUAGAAAACCAUGAGCACUGUCUUAAAGCCUGCUCCAAAGGGACACUCAUCACUUCCAUCUAUAUUUCUUUGGAAAGGUAAGUGUAUAGCCUCUGCUGAGUUCAACACGGUAGGGUUGUACAAACUUCCUCCAGGAUGGGGCAGCAGCUAUUCUGACUGAUGUUACAGCCUCCUGCACCCAUGCAGGAGCCACUGACUUAUCAUAGAGAGAUAGUAAUCAUUUUCUAAAAUUAUUGUAUAAAAUAUUAAAUAUUUUUACAUAUUCUCAUAUCUUAUAUAAAAUGUUUAUAUAUUUAUAUGUUAUACAAAUAUGUAAAAAUAUUUAUUUUAGUUAAAAAAUUACAAAACAUUUCCAACAUCCAGAAGAGGUUAAUAUAACAAAACCAUGAGUGUUUGUAUCCUAAAAUUACCAACUGUUAACAUUUGCCCCACUGACUUCAGAUUCCUUUGUUAAAAAAGAAAUAAAACAUUGCAGAUGCAGAGUAUUCCACCAGCCCCAUCUUAUACUUCUUUCAAGCCUUUUCAUUUCUAGAAGUAACUAUCCUGAUGCAAGAGUACAUUCUUUGUGUCUAUUCUUUUUAUUAUUUAUUACAAAAGUGCUUUAAAAAUAUACAUAAUGUAGAAUGUGCAUGUCUCUUUACCUAUUACUUUUUCCACUUAGUACUCUGUAUUUUAGACGUAUCCAUGUUGAUGCAUGUAGGUCUAGUUAUUUCACUGAAAGUAUUUAAUAGUAAUAUGUGUUAUGAAUCGAUCACUAUCCAUGUUGUUUGAACUUUAGUUGGCUUACAGCUUUUUGUUAUUUCAAAAAUGGAAAGAUAAACACCUUUGUAUGUGCUUCUGUGUACAGACAAGGGUUUCUCCAUGAUUUAGGUCCUCAAAAUGAGUGAAACACUUCACUGGAAUGGCCUUGCAGGGUUGAAAAAGCUAAUUGCUUUUGCAUACCAAGCUGAAGCUUUAUAAAUGGCAGCUCCAAAGGGCAGAGUUAAACAGGAAACGGGGCCCAGUGUUACCUGAAACCAUCUGGGCGGAGAGUUAGAGGCAGCCUCAUGGGACUUUUCUGGGCCCCUGAGGCGUGCACAAGGCAGUGAAAGACCAGCGCCCUAGAAAACCAGCAAUUUUCCUUGGGGCUGCAAGCCGUAUGGUGAACGUAGGACUGCGAACCAGCAGACUUGACACAGGCAGUGGUUGGAUGAGGCCCAGCAGGAGGUACCAGGGAGGUGGCAGAACUGGUAGGUACCAAGGGUUUCAGAAGACACAAGGAAGGGCGCCCGGGUAGCUCAGUCGGUUGAGCGUCCAACUCCCGGUUUCUGCUCAGGUUAUGUUCCUGAGAUCAAGCCCCGAGGCGAGCUCUGCGUUGACAGCGUGGAAGCUGCCUGGGAU